AGCAGCCGCGGUAACUCCAGCUCCAAUAGCGUAUAUUAAAGUUGUUGCAGUUAAAAAGCUCGUAGUCGAACUUCAGGCCUGUCCAGACGGUCCGCCUUAAUUGGUGUGUACUGUCCUUGGGUGGGUCCUACCUUCUGGCGAAGCGGCAUGGCCUUAAUUGGUUGUGUCGGGGAACCAGGACUUUUACUGUGAAGAAAUUAGAGUGUUCAAAGCAGGCAAAUAUGCUCGAAUACAUUAGCAUGGAAUAAUGGAAUAGGACGAUGGUUCUAUUUUGUUGGUUCUAGGACCGUUGUAAUGAUUAAUAGGGAUAGUUGGGGGCAUUAGUAUUCAAUUGUCAGAGGUGAAAUUCUUGGAUUUAUUGAAGACUAACUACUGCGAAAGCAUUUGCCAAGGAUGUUUUCAUUAAUCAAGAACGAAAGUUAGGGGAUCGAAGACGAUCAGGUACCGUCGUAGUCUUAACCAUAAACUAUGCCGACUAGGAAUCGGGCGAUGUUGAAAAAUGACUCGCUCGGCACCUC
rnacentral:rRNA from 1 species